UUACAUCCAGGGUCAAUAUUGAUAUGUGUGAAUUUGUUACUGCCACUUAAAGCUAGUUGGCUGUUUUGCCCAUUAGUUGAUGCAGAUUCCUCAUUAUGCUGAUGCUCUUUAUCUUUUUGUGUAUGUUUGGCAAGC